AGUGAACGCUGGCGGUAGGCCUAACACAUGCAAGUCGAACGGCAGCACAGUAAGAGCUUGCUCUUACGGGUGGCGAGUGGCGGACGGGUGAGGAAUACAUCGGAAUCUACUUUUUCGUGGGGGUUAACGUAGGGAAACUUACGCUAAUACCGCAUACGACCUACGGGUGAAAGCAGGGGAUCUUCGGACCUUGCGCGAUUGAAUGAGCCGAUGUCGAAUUAGCUAGUUGGCGGGGUAAAGGCCCACCAAGGCGACGAUCCGUAGCUGGUCUGAGAGGAUGAUCAGCCACACUGGAACUGAGACACGGUCCAGACUCCUACGGGAGGCAGCAGUGGGGAAUAUUGGACAAUGGGCGCAAGCCUGAUCCAGCCAUACCGCGUGGGUGAAGAAGGCCUUCGGGUUGUAAAGCCCUUUUGUUGGGAAAGAAAAGCAGCAGGUUAAUACCCCGCUGUUCUGACGGUACCCAAAGAAUAAGCACCGGCUAACUUCGUG
rnacentral:rRNA from 1 species